AGAGUUUGAUCAUGGCUCAGGACGAACGCUGGCGGCGUGCUUAACACAUGCAAGUCGAGCGGUAAGGCCCUUCGGGGUACACGAGCGGCGAACGGGUGAGUAACACGUGGGUGACCUGCCCCCUACUCUGGGAUAAGCCUGGGAAACUGGGUCUAAUACCGGAUAUGACUGCAUGUCGCAUGGUGUGUGGUGGAAAGUUUUUCGGUGGGGGAUGGGCCCGCGGCCUAUCAGCUUGUUGGUGGGGUGAUGGCCUACCAAGGCGACGACGGGUAGCCGGCCUGAGAGGGCGACCGGCCACACUGGGACUGAGACACGGCCCAGACUCCUACGGGAGGCAGCAGUGGGGAAUAUUGCGCAAUGGGCGGAAGCCUGACGCAGCGACGCCGCGUGGGGGAUGACGGCCUUCGGGUUGUAAACCUCUUUCGGCCCCGACGAAGCGUGAGUGACGGUAGGGGUAGAAGAAGCACCGGCCAACUACGUGCCAGCAGCCGCGGUAAUACGUAGGGUGCGAGCGUUGUCCGGAAUUAUUGGGCGUAAAGAGCUCGUAGGCGGUCUGUCGCGUCGGUCGUGAAAACUUGGGGCUUAACCCUGAGCUUGCGGUCGAUACGGGCAUGACUGGAGUUCGGCAGGGGAGACUGGAAUUCCUGGUGUAGCGGUGAAAUGCGCAGAUAUCAGGAGGAACACCGGUGGCGAAGGCGGGUCUCUGGGCCGAUACUGACGCUGAGGAGCGAAAGCGUGGGGAGCGAACAGGAUUAGAUACCCUAGUAGUCC
rnacentral:rRNA from 1 species